GACGAACGCUGGCGGCGGGCUUAACACAUGCAAGUCGAGCGAAGCGGCGGACGGGUGAGUUCCACGUGAGUAACCUGCAUUAGACAUUGGGAUAGCCUCGGGAAACCGGGAUUAAUACCAAAUGGUCUAAGAUGGACUCGCGUCCCAUUAGCUAGUUGGUGGGUCACGGCCCUCCAAGGCGACGAUGGGUAGCCGGCCUUGGAGGGUGAGCGGCGACAUUGAAGCUGGGCAACGGUCCAAACUAUACGGGAGGCGGGAGUGGGGGAUAUUGCCCAACGGAGGGAACGCUGAUGGCGCUAGGCUGCGUGAACGAAGAAGGCGUGCGAGACGGAAAGUUCUUUUAUAUGGGAAGCGGUACCAUAAGAAAAAGCCACGGCUAACUACGUGCCAGCAGCCGCGGUAAUUC
rnacentral:rRNA from 1 species